rnacentral:rRNA from 1 species
UAGGGAAUCUUCGGCAAUGGACGAAAGUCUGACCGAGCAACGCCGCGGGAGUGAAGAAGGUUUUCGGAUCGUAAAACUCUGUUGUUAGAGAAGAACAAGGACGUUAGUAACUGAACGUCCCCUGACGGUAUCUAACCAGAAAGCCACGGCUAACUACGUGCCAGCAGCCGCGGUAAUACGUAGGUGGCAAGCGUUGUCCGGAUUUAUUGGGCGUAAAGCGAGCGCAGGCGGUUUCUUAAGUCUGAUGUGAAAGCCCCCGGCUCAACCGGGGAGGGUCAUUGGAAACUGGGAGACUUGAGUGCAGAAGAGGAGAGUGGAAUUCCAUGUGUAGCGGUGAAAUGCGUAGAUAUAUGGAGGAACACCAGUGGCGAAGGCGGCUCUCUGGUCUGUAACUGCCGCUGAGGCUCGAAAGCGUGGGGAGCAAACAGG